GUAGGUGGCAAGCGUUGUCCGGAAUUAUUGGGCGUAAAGCGCGCGCAGGCGGUUCUUUAAGUCUGAUGUGAAAGCCCACGGCUCAACCGUGGAGGGUCAUUGGAAACUGGAGAACUUGAGUACAGAAGAGGAAAGCGGAAUUCCACGUGUAGCGGUGAAAUGCGUAGAGAUGUGGAGGAACACCAGUGGCGAAGGCGGCUUUCUGGUCUGCAACUGACGCUGAGGCGCGAAAGCGUGGGGGGAGCAAACAGGAUUAGAUACCCUGGUAGUCCACGCCGUAAACGAUGAGUGCUAAGUGUUAGGGGGUUUCCGCCCCUUAGUGCUGCAGCUAACGCAUUAAGCACUCCGCCUGGGAGUACGGCCGCAAGGCUG
rnacentral:rRNA from 1 species